UCCCUGGUGGUUAAAUGGUUAGGACUCUGAACUUUUGCUGCCCAGGUCCAAGUUCAACCCUUGGUCAGGGAG
rnacentral:tRNA from 1 species